UAAGGAAUAUUGCUCAAUGGGAGAAAUCCUGAAGCAGCAACGCCGCGUGGAGGAUGAAGGGUCUAUGACUUGUAAACUCCUGUAAAGAAGGAAAAAAUUCCCAUUUGAUGGGAGAUGAUGGUACUUCUGGAGUAAGACCCGGCUAACUACGUGCCAGCAGCCGCGGUAAUACGUAGGGGGCAAGCGUUGUCCGGAUUUACUGGGUGUAAAGGGUGCUCAGGCGGAUUUGUAAGUCAGAGGUGAAAUCUUACAGCUUAACUGUGAAACUGCCUUUGAUACUGCAAGCCUAGAGUAUGGAAGAGAGUGAUGGAAUAUCUGGUGUAGCAGUGAAAUGCGUAGAUAUCAGAUAGAACACCAAUGGCGAAGGCAGUCACUUGGUCCAUUACUGACGCUAAAGCACGAAAGCGUGGGUAGCAAACA
rnacentral:rRNA from 1 species